ACGUCACGAAUAAUGAGGCGUUCAUCCUGAUUGAAUCAGGCACUGAACGGGGAGUAAACCAUCGCCGUGCUGAGCACGCAGCGAACUCCUGCAAAAACUCAACAUAACCCUCGCCCUGCUACACAUUAUCUGACG
rnacentral:sRNA from 1 species